AGGGAGCUGAAUGGGAACAACAUCACCCGGAUCAACAGGAACGACUUCUCGGGGCUGAAGCAGCUGCGCGUCCUGCAGCUGAUGGAAAACCAGAUCAACAUGGUGGAGCGGGGAGUGUUUGAUGACCUGAAGGAGCUAGAGCGGCUACGGCUGAAUCGGAACCAGCUGCACACGCUGCCAGAGCUUCUGUUCCAGAACAACCAGGCCCUGUUGCGACUGUGAG